AGAGUUUGAUCCUGGCUCAGAACGAACGCUGGCGGCGCGUUUUAAGCAUGCAAGUCGAACGGUAGAGGGAGCUUGCUCCCUUGAGAGUGGCGAACGGGUGAGUAACACGUAGAUAAUCUGCCUCUGGAUGGGGGAUAGUCCAAAGAAAUUUGGUUUAAUACCGCAUGAGAUGGCGAGACAUAAGUCUUGUUUAUGAAAGGCGCAAUUGUGCCGUCUGGAGAUGAGUCUGCGGUUCAUUAGCUAGUUGGUAGGGUAAAGGCCUACCAAGGCGACGAUGAAUAGCCGGCCUGAGAGGGUGAUCGGCCACACUGGGACUGAGACACGGCCCAGACUCCUACGGGAGGCAGCAGCUAAGAAUCUUCCGCAAUGGGCGAAAGCCUGACGGAGCGACGCCGCGUGAAUGAUGAAGGCGGAAACGUUGUAAAGUUCUUUUCUUGGGGAAGAAUAAAGUGAGGAAUGGAAUGCCUUACUGAUGACAUUAACUGAGGAAUAAGCCCCGGCCAAUUACGUGCCAGCAGCCGCGGUAAUACGUAUGGGGCGAGCGUUGUUCGGAAUUAUUGGGCGUAAAGGGCGUGUAGGCGGUUUUAUAAGCCUGGUGUGAAAGACCACAGCUCAACUGUGGAUCCGCACUGGGAACUGUAAGACUAGAGUUCAGGAGGGGAAGAUAGAAUUCCUGGUGUAGGGGUGAAAUCUGUAGAUAUCAGGAAGAAUACCGAUGGCGAAGGCAAUCUUCUGGCCAUGGACUGACGCUGAGGCGCGAAAGCGUGGGGAGCGAACAGGAUUAGAUACCCUGGUAGUCCACGCUGUAAACGAUGUACACUUGGUGUAGGGGACCUAAGUUCUCUGUGCCGGAGCUAACGCGUUAAGUGUACCGCCUGGGGAGUAUGCUCGCAAGGGUGAAACUCGAAGGAAUUGACGGGGGCCCGCACAAGCGGUGGAGCAUGUGGUUUAAUUCGACGAUACGCGAGGAACCUUACCAGGGCUUGACAUACACUUGAAGACCUAAGAGAUUGGGUCGACCUUUAGGGGACAGGUGAACAGGUGCUGCAUGGCUGUCGUCAGCUCGUGUCGUGAGAUGUUGGGUUAAGUCCCGCAACGAGCGCAACCCUUACUGUCUGUUACCAACAGGUCUUCGGAUGCUGGGGACUCAGGCAGAACUGCCGGUGACAAACCGGAGGAAGGUGAGGACGACGUCAAGUCAUCAUGGCCCUUAUGUCCUGGGCUACACACGUGCUACAAUGGCCAACACAAAGCGUUGCGAAACGGCGACGUUUAGCUAAUCGCAAAAAGUUGGUCUCAGUUCGGAUUGGAGUCUGAAACUCGACUCCAUGAAGUUGGAAUCGCUAGUAAUCGCGCAUCAGAAUGGCGCGGUGAAUAUGUUCCCGGGCCUUGUACACACCGCCCGUCACACCACCCGAGUUGGGGGUACCCGAAGUCGGUAGUCUAACCGUAAGGAGGACGCUGCCGAAGGUAUGCCUAGUAAGGGGGGUGAAGUCGUAACAAGGUA
rnacentral:rRNA from 1 species